GACGAACGCUGGCGGCGUGCCUAAUACAUGCAAGUCGAGCGAAGCUGCGUAUGGGGGAGUAAAGCGUGGGUAACCUGGCCGUAAGUCUGGGAUACCAAUUGUAAACAGAUGCUAAUACCGGAUACUAAAGGAUGGACCUGCGAUGCAUUAGCUAGUUGGUAAGGUAACGGCUUACCAAGGCGAUGAUGCAUAGCAGAGUUGAGAGGAUGGUCGGCCCCAUUGCGACGGAGCUACGGCCCAGACUCCUACGCGAGGCAGUAGUAGGGAAUCUUACACAAUUGAAGAGAGUCUGAUGUGGCCACGCCGCGUGGCUUAAGAAGGUUUUGGGAUCGGAAUGCUCUGUUGUUGGUAUAGCGGUAAUCAACCAAAAAGUCACGGCUAACUACGUGCCAGCAGCCGCGGUAAUUC
rnacentral:rRNA from 1 species